rnacentral:lncRNA from 1 species
ACUUUAGGUGAUGGAGAUCCAUUCGUUUAUUUGCUUGAUCUGGAGUCUGAGGAAGAAAGUGAGUUCUUCCAUCAUGCUCAUCUCGAACUCCUCCUGCAUGAACUUGAUAAAUUCUUGAUAUAAAUCUUUAUUACUAGACCCAAAUAUAAUAUCAUUAAUAUAUAUCUGUAUGACUAGAAUUUUUUUAUUUUUUCAUUUUAUAAAUAGAGUUGUAUCAACUUUUCUCUUGAAAAACUAUUUUCUAGUAAGAACUUACUUAAUCUUUCAUACCAAGCCCUAGGAGCUU